AAUUAUCAACCUUAUCAGCUUUUACAAGUUGGUAAUGGCUUGGAUGUGGGGGUCUUUUUGCUGGCUUUGUCAAGAAGUCUGCUCCCCUUAAAUGUAUUAGCCGGUGCCUCGCGUGGAGCCGUCUAUUGGUGUGAUAAUUAUCUACGCCGUGGACGUCCACUUUAAAUGAGUGUGCUGCUUCUAACUGUCCGUUAAGUUGGACAAUUAAUGACA
rnacentral:misc_RNA from 1 species